ACCACGUGAUCCGUGCAGGUUCGCUGAGCACAGUCGGAACUAGAGACUCCGAGAUACUUAGGUGUGGAGCUGGAUGAAUAUAACAGGCCAAGAAGUAUCAGAGGAGCAGGAAAGCUCACAUUUUGUGCCUGGCCCUUUCGCUGAGACUAAGGAUUGUGCAAUUGAUGUAAGAGCAGGACACGGUGAAGAAGGCAAAACGGCAGAAAGCAGAUACCAGCGAUCGUUGCCAAAGCCCUGUUGCCUGUGGAAAAUGUGAUGUUCAACUUUCAUGUGCUGCUGCAGUUCAUAUGAUGAAGGUACUCCCACAAUGCGGUCAUUAGAGAAGUUACAGAUCAUUCAUCUAGCGAUACUGAAGAGCUGAUGGUGUGUGUCCAAAUCAACAAACUGAUAUUACAAGUGGACUUUCAGGUGGGGAAACUCAAUAAUUGUAACACUAAACUCUGACAGAAUUACUCAAUUCAUCAACAUCUGGAUAUUCGUAUUGUAUUUCCACAAUUUUACUUCUGCACUGUUCUUAACCUUUUGAUCCCUCUGAAAGACUGAGUUACAAUGCCUGCCCUUGCUCCCUGGCUCUCCCACCUCUCUUUCAGCAGUUUUAUGCAAAUACUGACUGGAUCCCUUACCUGGAGGAUAUUUAUUUGAAUUUGUUCUAAUGAUGAUCCAGCAUAUUUCCCAAGUGUCGCUCCAUAAAUGUCCAGAGGAUUUCUCGAUUUCACAAUCUGUGGUUGUUCUUCUGGUUCCUCACUCACUGCACUUGCUUUCUGUUUGAAAGCUUAGUCUGCAAUUGGAGAAUUCAAACAGGUCCACAUCGAGCUCUGACAGUCACUUUGUUUAUCACAAACCAGUUACCUCAGGAUUUUGAACAUUGGAGGAAAAAGCAGCAUUCACACUGGGGAGAAAUGCACAUGAUCUGUAAAGAGUCUGUGAAGAUUCAUCUGAAAUGUCCGAACACCAGCGCAGUGACACUGGGGAGAGACUGUGGAAAUGUGCAGAUUGCAGGAACGAAUUUUUUAAUCCAUCCCAGCUAGAAACUGACCACCAGAGUCACACUGGAGAGAAACCAUUCACCUGCUCUGAUUGUGGAAUGGGAUUCACUCAGUCCUCCAGCCUGCUUAAACACCAGUGAGUUCGCACUGUAGAGAAACCAUUUACAUGCUUGAAAUGUGGGAAAGCAUUCACUCAGACAUCUCAACCGCUGAUGCAUGAGCAAAUUCACACUGGAGAGAGACCGUUGGCCUGUUCUGCGUGAGGGAAAAGCUUUGCUGACUCGAAUUGCCCGCUGAUCCACCAGCGACUUCACUCUGGGGAGUGACCAUUCAUCUGCUCCCAGUGUGGGAAGGGAUUCACUUGCUCACCUCACCUACAGAGCGUUCACACUGGGGAGAAACCAUUCACCUGCUCUAAAUGUGAGAAAGCAUUCACUUGGUCAUCCUACCUGCCUGUGUUCCAGCAGGUUCACACUGGGGAGAGCCCAUUCAUGAGCUCUGAGUGGGGAAAGCAUUCACUCAGUUAUCCAAACUGUUAACACACCAGUGAGUUCACAAAGAAGCACAUUUGAAGGAUUUUGCUGUCACUCUCACUGUCAAGUGAACCAUGGUUUUGGGCUGUUUGUACUGGUGUUACUGAUCCCUGCUCAAUUAAAGGUACAGGUAUUGUGGAUAAAA